GAUGAACGCUGGCGGCGUGCCUAAUACAUGCAAGUCGAGCGAACGGACGAGAAGCUUGCUUCUCUGAUGUUAGCGGCGGACGGGUGAGUAACACGUGGAUAACCUACCUAUAAGACUGGGAUAACUUCGGGAAACCGUAGCUAAUACCGGAUAAUAUUUUGAACCGCAUGGUUCAAAAGUGAAAGACGGUCUUGCUGUCACUUAUAGAUGGAUCCGCGCUGCAUUAGCUAGUUGGUAAGGUAACGGCUUACCAAGGCAACGAUGCAUAGCCGACCUGAGAGGGUGAUCGGCCACACUGGAACUGAGACACGGUCCACUCCUACGGGAGGCAGCAGUAGGGAAUCUUCCGCAAUGGGCGAAAGCCUGACGGAGCAACGCCGCGUGAGUGAUGAAGGUCUUCGGAUCGUAAAACUCUGUUAUUAGGGAAGAACAUAUGUGUAAGUAACUGUGCACAUCUUGACGGUACCUAAUCAGAAAGCCACGGCUAACUACGUG
rnacentral:rRNA from 1 species